rnacentral:rRNA from 1 species
GGGCCCGCACAAGCAGCGGAGCGUGUGGUUUAAUUCGAUGAUACACGAAGAACCUUACCAGGGUUUGACAUGCUAGUGGUAGGGAUCCGAAAGGUGACCGACCCUCGGGGAGCUAGCACAGGUGCUGCAUGGCUGUCGUCAGCUCGUGUCGUGAGAUGUUCGGUUAAGUCCGCUAACGAGCGCAACCCUUGCUGUGUGUUACAUGUGUCACACGGGACUGCCGGUCUUAAACCGGAGGAAGGUGGGAUGACGUCAAGUCAGCAUGGCCUUUAUGUCCUGGGCUACACACACGCUACAAUGGCCGGUACAAUAGGUUGCGAAGCCGCGAGGCGGAGCCAAUCCUCAAAGCCGGCCUCAGUUCAGAUUGCAGGCUGCAACCCGCCUGCAUGAAGAUGGAGUUGCUAGUAACCGCAGGUCAGCUAUACUGCGGUGAAUACGUUCCCGGGGCUU